CUGGCGGCAGGCCUAACACAUGCAAGUCGAGCGCUCACUUCGGUGGGAGCGGCGGACGGGUUAGUAACGCGUGGGAAUAUGCCCGGUACUAAGGAAUAGCCUUUGGAAACGAAGAGUAAUACCUUAUACGCCCUUCGGGGGAAAGAUUUAUCGGUAUCGGAUUAGCCCGCGUAAGAUUAGAUAGUUGGUGGGGUAAUGGCCUACCAAGUCUACGAUCUUUAGCUGGUUUUAGAGGAUGAUCAGCAACACUGGGACUGAGACACGGCCCAGACUCCUACGGGAGGCAGCAGUGGGGAAUCUUAGACAAUGGGCGCAAGCCUGAUCUAGCCAUGCCGCGUGAGUGAAGAAGGCCUUAGGGUCGUAAAACUCUUUCGCCAGAGAUGAUAAUGACAGUAUCUGGUAAAGAAACCCCGGCUAACUCCGUGCCAGCAGCCGCGGUAAUACGGAGGGGGUUAGCGUUGUUCGGAAUUACUGGGCGUAAAGCGUACGUAGGCGGAUUAGUCAGUCAGAGGUGAAAUCCCAGGGCUCAACCCUGGAACUGCCUUUGAUACUGCUAGUCUUGAGUUCGAGAGAGGUGAGUGGAAUUCCAAGUGUAGAGGUGAAAUUCGUAGAUAUUUGGAGGAACACCAGUGGCGAAGGCGGCUCACUGGCUCGAUACUGACGCUGAGGUACGAAAGUGUGGGGAGCAAACAGGAUUAGAUACCCUGGUAGUCCACACCGUAAACGAUGAAUGCCAGUCGUCGGGCAGUAUACUGUUCGGUGACACACCUAACGGAUUAAGCAUUCCGCCUGGGGAGUACGGUCGCAAGAUUAAAACUCAAAGGAAUUGACGGGGGCCCGCACAAGCGGUGGAGCAUGUGGUUUAAUUCGAAGC
rnacentral:rRNA from 1 species